ensembl:lncRNA
CAAACAUUCAGCUGUUCAUAGGAAGCCUGCUGUUUUCCUAGACAUAUUACUGUCAGCCUGGUGACACUGGCAAUCUGGAUCAUUUUGCCCUAAGCAUAUUUCAUUGUACAAUUAUAACAUCGAGACUGAGUCAGGCCAAAGGUUAACCCAAAAUAUUAGACCCAGCUGUUACUAUGAUAAAUGAAGCACCCUGGGAAUUACAGAACACUAUGGAGUUAACUUCCUGUGUUGCUAUGAUACCUCGAUGGUCCUGUUUGGUUUGAUCAGAGUGCAGACAAAAAAAAAUAGUUAUGCCCACAUUCCUCUGCGAGCUAAACAGGUUAUCUGUUGGCACCUCCCAGAGUAAGUUGGGAUUGAACCACCUGAGAGGUAAUGCUGAUGGUCAUCUGAUGUCAACUGCGACCUGGAUCAGCCCAGAACAUGGAAACCUGCAAGUAUAAAUGGGCACCUAUGAAGAUGUGGCCUGGCACAAAAGGCAGCCUCUUCCCUUGGUGUGCCUGUAUCAGAUAAGGAAUUAGGAACCACUUGCUACCAGUGCUGUAGACAAACUGAAGAAACUCCAUUGCGAAGGGACCUUAACUGACUUUCUGGGAGAGGCAACGUUCCUUUGGACAAGUGAAGAAGCUGAAUCCAGACAAUGAGAUAUGUACCUUGACUCUUCUGGUGGGCAAACAUCACAUCAGAUGGCUGGACACACCUUCUAUGAAGAAAACCCCUCAUACCGGGAAGGCACUAGAAGUUCACAGUUAAGAUGAAGUUAUUUUUGAGAGUGGCUAAUACAUCCUUAGUGCCGAGCAAACAUUUUCCAUCAUUCAUCUUUCCUGUGUUGAGUGUGAAGCUGCUCUUCACGCAAUAGCAAGACUUCUAGAGCAGCUGAAGGUCUGAACACUGAAUUGCUGCAUGAAAUGGUAGAAGACUUCACUGGGGCUGUUCACAUUGCAUAUCAGGAAAAAACUUCUCACAGAGAGUGGUGCUGCAGUGGCACAGGUUGCCCAAGGAGGUGGUGGAGUCACCAUCCCCAGAGGUGUUCAAGAACUGUGGGGAUGCAGCACUGAGGAACAUGGUUAGUGGGCAUGGGGGGUGGGGUGGGUCAACGAUUGGGCUGGGUGAUCUUGGACACGCAAUGGAAUGGAUUUUUCCAACCUUAACGAUUCCAUGAUACUGUGAUUCUCAUAUCUCAAAGGCCUUAAGUCAUUAAAAUAUCACUUCAUUUUCACUCUUUUAAUUAAAGCACAGAUCUUCAAAUUUUAAACGGUCAUAACAUGUUAGGAAAAAAAGUGCCAGAGCUGAGCUGAUGUAUUGUUGCCUUCAGGUGUGGUUUUUAUCACAGGUGGUACUCGUUAGUUGUUAGUAAUGCCACGGCACCUGGAGCCCUGUGGUUAUAAAAGGGCCGCUUGCAGCAGGUUUCUGUGACCAUUUAGCAUCUCAUUAAGUGGGCAGUCUGAAGUGUGCUCAGAGAAAACUUAAAUUCUGCUAUUUGGUUUGUAAUUGUGGCCCUAGGCUUGAUAGGAGGUAGUACCAGGGACUCAUCACUAAGUUCUUACCUAAAGAAGACAUCUGUGAGCCUUGAUAACUUCGUUGGCGUCAAGGUGAGAGAACAAGAAGGAAAUAACAGGAAAACUGGCAAGGAAAGCAGUGCGAGGCUGAGAAUUUUCUUAGUCUGAAAAACUGGAGCUGGUUCCCUGGAAACUAGAGACUAAGCACUUAUACAGAGAAAAGAACACACAAUGUCGCCAUCAACUGCGUGCCUGCUUUCCUCCACCUGUGUCAAGCUCCAAAUGAUGACAGAAGGCCAUGCGCAAUUUUUGCUACAAAGAGAUACUGACAAAGAGAAGAAGAAGGUGAAGAACUGGGCCACUCCUAAGACUGUUACUUUUCUGGUUGCAAAGCAAUAUAAUUAAGACAGAUUCCAUUUUGCUUGCUGGAUGGUGAAAACUCAUGGGAAGCAAAAUUCACAUCACAGCUUUCUGGCAAGCUUUAAACAAAAUGCAUCUAAAAAAAAAUAAAGACAAGAGCUUGUAAUACUCUUCUUAGCAGUGUGAAGAGCAGAGUCUGAUCCUGCUUUCACAGCAGGAAUUUGUUCAGAGUUUUGUUUAAUUAUUGUCAGGAGCUGCAGGGAUGUUCUUUCAGAGAAUUAGCAAAAG